GGGGAGGGGAUCAUUACCGAGUUUACAACUCCCAAACCCAAUGUGAACGUUACCAAACUGUUGCCUCGGCGGGGUCACGCCCCGGGUGCGUCGCAGCCCCGGAACCAGGCGCCCGCCGGAGGAACCAACCAAACUCUUUCUGUAGUCCCCUCGCGGACGUAUUUCUUACAGCUCUGAGCAAAAAUUCAAAAUGAAUCAAAACUUUCAACAACGGAUCUCUUGGUUCUGGCAUCGAUGAAGAACGCAGCGAAAUGCGAUAAGUAAUGUGAAUUGCAGAAUUCAGUGAAUCAUCGAAUCUUUGAACGCACAUUGCGCCCGCCAGUAUUCUGGCGGGCAUGCCUGUCCGAGCGUCAUUUCAACCCUCGAACCCCUCCGGGGGAUCGGCGUUGGGGAUCGGGACCCCUCACACGGGUGCCGGCCCCGAAAUACAGUGGCGGUCUCGCCGCAGCCUCUCCUGCGCAGUAGUUUGCACAACUCGCACCGGGAGCGCGGCGCGUCCACGUCCGUAAAACACCCAACUUUCUGAAAUGUUGACCUCGGAUCAGGUAGGAAUACCCGCUGAACUUAAGCAUAUCAAA
rnacentral:rRNA from 1 species